GGGUUUAAAAUGAAUAAAGGGGUCAAUGGCAGGUCAGGGGUUUUAUUUACUUACAUUUUAUGGUAUAAGAGUUUAGGCUGUGGGAGACUUACGUUUCUGGGCAGCAAAACUUGCCCACUUCUCAGCGGGCCUUCAUCACAUGCCAGGUUUUGCACUAAAGUCCUUCUAUAUUAUUGCACUAUGUUUGGUGUCACAGCUUAAGGUGGGGCAUGGUCGGUAUGAGAAAAAACAAAUAUGGGCCCUCAAAGUAGGCUAUGGUGAUGCAUGUCCCACUAGAGCAGGGAUAAGCAACCUUCAGCACUCCAGAUGUUUUGGACUCCAUCUCUUGUGGUGCUUUGCCAGCAUUGUGGCUGUAAGAGCAUUAUGGUAGAUGUAGUCCACAACAUCUGGAGAGAUGAAGCUUGCCUAUGCCUGCACUAGAGGAAAGACAAAUGGGUGGACACAAUCUCAUGGACAAUGGAAUAAGGGAAAUUGCCUUCUGCCAUGAACGGAGCUGAGGCCCGAGGCAUGAGAGCAGGGCAUUGUGGGUACUUUACU